GCUGGGCACGGUGGCGCACGCCUGUAAUCCCAGCUACUUAGGAGGCUGAGGCAGGAGAAUCACUUGAACCCAGGAGACUGAGGUUGCAGUGAGCCAGAAUUGUGCUACUGGCACUCCAGCCUGGGCGACAGAGUGAGACUUUGUCUCAA
ensembl:misc_RNA Metazoa_SRP Metazoan signal recognition particle RNA